rnacentral:rRNA from 1 species
GGUUAAGUUAGAAAGGGCGCACGGUGGAUGCCUUGACACUAGGAGUCGAUGAAGGACGGGACUAACGCCGAUAUGCUUCGGGGAGCUGUAAGUAAGCUUUGAUCCGAAGAUUUCCGAAUGGGGAAACCCACCAUACGUAAUGGUAUGGUAUCCUUAUCUGAAUACAUAGGGUAAGGAAGACAGACCCAGGGAACUGAAACAUCUAAGUACCUGGAGGAAGAGAAAGCAAAUGCGAUUUCCUGAGUAGCGGCGAGCGAAACGGAACAUAGCCCAAACCAAGAGGCUUGCCUCUUGGGGUUGUAGGACAUUCUAUACGGAGUUACAAAGGAACGAGGUAGACGAAGCGACCUGGAAAGGUCCGUCGUAGAGGGUAACAACCCCGUAGUCGAAACUUCGUUCUCUCUUGAAUGUAUCCUGAGUACGGCGGAACACGUGAAAUUCCGUCGGAAUCUGGGAGGACCAUCUCCCAAGGCUAAAUACUCCCUAGUGAUCGAUAGUGAACCAGUACCGUGAGGGAAAGGUGAAAAGCACCCCGGAAGGGGAGUGAAAGAGAUCCUGAAACCGUGUGCCUACAAAUAGUCAGAGCCCGUUAACGGGUGAUGGCGUGCCUUUUGUAGAAUGAACCGGCGAGUUACGAUCCCGUGCGAGGUUAAGCUGAAGAGGCGGAGCCGCAGCGAAAGCGAGUCUGAAUAGGGCGUUUAGUACGUGGUCGUAGACCCGAAACCAGGUGAUCUACCCAUGUCCAGGGUGAAGUUCAGGUAACACUGAAUGGAGGCCCGAACCCACGCACGUUGAAAAGUGCGGGGAUGAGGUGUGGGUAGCGGAGAAAUUCCAAUCGAACCUGGAGAUAGCUGGUUCUCCCCGAAAUAGCUUUAGGGCUAGCCUUAAGUGUAAGAGUCUUGGAGGUAGAGCACUGAUUGGACUAGGGGUCCUCAUCGGAUUACCGAAUUCAGUCAAACUCCGAAUGCCAAUGACUUAUCCUUAGGAGUCAGACUGCGAGUGAUAAGAUCCGUAGUCAAAAGGGAAACAGCCCAGACCGCCAGCUAAGGUCCCAAAGUGUGUAUUAAGUGGAAAAGGAUGUGGAGUUGCUUAGACAACUAGGAUGUUGGCUUAGAAGCAGCCACCAUUUAAAGAGUGCGUAAUAGCUCACUAGUCGAGUGACUCUGCGCCGAAAAUGUACCGGGGCUAAAUACACCACCGAAGCUGCGGAUUGAUACCAAUGGUAUCAGUGGUAGGGGAGCGUUCUAAGGACAGUGAAGUCAGACCGGAAGGACUGGUGGAGUGCUUAGAAGUGAGAAUGCCGGUAUGAGUAGCGAAAGACGGGUGAGAAUCCCGUCCACCGAAUGCCUAAGGUUUCCUGAGGAAGGCUCGUCCGCUCAGGGUUAGUCAGGACCUAAGCCGAGGCCGACAGGCGUAGGCGAUGGACAACAGGUUGAUAUUCCUGUACCACCUCUUUAUCGUUUGAGCAAUGGAGGGACGCAGAAGGAUAGAAGAAGCGUGCGAUUGGUUGUGCACGUCCAAGCAGUUAGGCUGAUAAGUAGGCAAAUCCGCUUAUCGUAAAGGCUGAGCUGUGAUGGGGAAGCUCCUUAUGGAGCGAAGUCUUUGAUUCCCCGCUGCCAAGAAAAGCUUCUAGCGAGAUAAAAGGUGCCUGUACCGCAAACCGACACAGGUAGGCGAGGAGAGAAUCCUAAGGUGUGCGAGAGAACUCUGGUUAAGGAACUCGGCAAAAUGACCCCGUAACUUCGGGAGAAGGGGUGCUUUCUUAACGGAAAGCCGCAGUGAAUAGGCCCAAGCGACUGUUUAGCAAAAACACAGCUCUCUGCGAAGCCGUAAGGCGAAGUAUAGGGGGUGACACCUGCCCGGUGCUGGAAGGUUAAGGAGAGGGGUUAGCGUAAGCGAAGCUCUGAACUGAAGCCCCAGUAAACGGCGGCCGUAACUAUAACGGUCCUAAGGUAGCGAAAUUCCUUGUCGGGUAAGUUCCGACCCGCACGAAAGGUGUAACGAUUUGGGCACUGUCUCAACCAGAGACUCGGUGAAAUUAUAGUACCUGUGAAGAUGCAGGUUACCCGCGACAGGACGGAAAGACCCCGUGGAGCUUUACUGUAGCCUGAUAUUGAAUUUUGGUACAGUUUGUACAGGAUAGGCGGGAGCCAUUGAAACCGGAGCGCUAGCUUCGGUGGAGGCGCUGGUGGGAUACCGCCCUGACUGUAUUGAAAUUCUAACCUACGGGUCUUAUCGACCCGGGAGACAGUGUCAGGUGGGCAGUUUGACUGGGGCGGUCGCCUCCUAAAGUGUAACGGAGGCGCCCAAAGGUUCCCUCAGAAUGGUUGGAAAUCAUUCGUAGAGUGCAAAGGCAUAAGGGUGCUUGACUGCGAGACCUACAAGUCGAGCAGGGACGAAAGUCGGGCUUAGUGAUCCGGUGGUUCCGCAUGGAAGGGCCAUCGCUCAACGGAUAAAAGCUACCCCGGGGAUAACAGGCUUAUCUCCCCCAAGAGUCCACAUCGACGGGGAGGUUUGGCACCUCGAUGUCGGCUCAUCGCAUCCUGGGGCUGUAGUCGGUCCCAAGGGUUGGGCUGUUCGCCCAUUAAAGCGGUACGCGAGCUGGGUUCAGAACGUCGUGAGACAGUUCGGUCCCUAUCCGUCGUGGGCGUAGGAAAUUUGAGAGGAGCUGUCCUUAGUACGAGAGGACCGGGAUGGACGCACCGCUGGUGUACCAGUUGUUCUGCCAAGGGCAUAGCUGGGUAGCUAUGUGCGGAAGGGAUAAGUGCUGAAAGCAUCUAAG